rnacentral:rRNA from 1 species
UACUACGGGAGGCAGCAGUGGGGAAUAUUGCACAAUGGGCGCAAGCCUGAUGCAGCCAUGCCGCGUGUGUGAAGAAGGCCUUAGGGUUGUAAAGCACUUUCAGUAAGGAGGAAAGGUUAGUAGUUAAUACCUGCUAGCUGUGACGUUACUUACAGAAGAAGCACCGGCUAACUCCGUGCCAGCAGCCGCGGUAAUACGGAGGGUGCGAGCGUUAAUCGGAAUUACUGGGCGUAAAGCGUACGCAGGCGGUUUGUUAAGCGAGAUGUGAAAGCCCCGGGCUCAACCUGGGAACUGCAUUUCGAACUGGCAAACUAGAGUAUGAUAGAGGGUGGUAGAAUUUCAGGUGUAGCGGUGAAAUGCGUAGAGAUCUGAAGGAAUACCGAUGGCGAAGGCAGCCACCUGGGUCAAUACUGACGCUCAUGUACGAAAGCGUGGGGAGCAAACGGGAUUAGAUACCCCGGUAGUCCACGCCGUAAACGAUGUCUACUAGGAGCUGGGGUCUUCGGACAACUUUUCCAAAGCUAACGCAUUAAGUAGACCGCCC